rnacentral:rRNA from 1 species
AUUGAACGCUGGCGGCAGGCUUAACACAUGCAAGUCGAGCGGAGAGAGGUAGCUUGCUACUGAUCUUAGCGGCGGACGGGUGAGUAAUGCUUAGGAAUCUGCCUAUUAGUGGGGGACAACAUUUCGAAAGGAAUGCUAAUACCGCAUACGUCCUACGGGAGAAAGCAGGGGAUCUUCGGACCUUGCGCUAAUAGAUGAGCCUAAGUCGGAUUAGCUAGUUGGUGGGGUAAAGGCCUACCAAGGCGACGAUCUGUAGCGGGUCUGAGAGGAUGAUCCGCCACACUGGGACUGAGACACGGCCCAGACUCCUACGGGAGGCAGCAGUGGGGGAUAUUGGACAAUGGGCGCAAGCCUGAUCCAGCCAUGCCGCGUGUGUGAAGAAGGCCUUAUGGUUGUAAAGCACUUUAAGCGAGGAGGAGGCUACUUUAGUUAAUACCUAGAGAUAGUGGACGUUACCUACAGAAGAAGCACCGGCUAACUCUGUGCCAGCCGCCGCAGUAAGAC